UUGUAACAGUUUGUCAUGUUUUAGUCUUUUACAUCAGAUUUCAGCAGCUACAGUAGAAAUCUGUUUGAUAUUUCACGUUAACUUGAGUCGGACUGAGCCUCUAAAUGAGGCCUGAGAUCUUCAGACAGACACUGGAGAACAAAUCAGACUUUCUGUGUCAUUAUAUUCACACUGUAGAGCUGAAGGAUCAGAGGACUUUAUUAAAUAUACAUGUUGAUGUAGAUAUAGAACAUUAUUAAUUAUUAUUUGAAUUUAUUGAUAAGAUAAAAUUUGACAGAUUUGUUUUCUUCAGCUCUUUGGACGGUUUGAAUGGUCUGUAAGUUUGGUUUGUUUCAGACUUUAAUAACUUAACUGUCUAGUUUACUUACUGUUUCUUAUAUAUUAUAUCUAUUGAAGAUGUCCAAAGUCCAAGAUGAAGUUGCAGAGUUGGUGCUUAUGGACUGAUAGUAGAAGAAAUAAAAAUAACAGAGUCACUGGAGGAACAGCUGAUAUUUCAACAGCAGAGGUUGUGGAUGAUGUUCAGGUGAAUGACUUGUGUUUCCUCUUUAGGUGAAGGUAGAAAGUGUGUGUGAGCUGAUGUGAAUCCAGCAGCAUGGAUCAGUGUGAGGACAGAGAGGAGGGAGUCCCUCGAUCUAAAUCCACUCUGAGUGGAGAACAUGAGAACCAGACCAGAGAUCAGAGGAUCCACCAGAAACCAGACUCAUCUCAACCUCAGCCUGAACCCAGCUGUGUGUCUAUGAGGAGUGAUCGGUCGAAGCAUGAUUUAACUGACUUUAAAGGACAAAAUCCAUCUGCUCUAAAUAAAGUGAAGCAGCAGAGUUUAAAUGUUCUCAGUGAUCAGUCUGUUCAUCAGCAUCAAA